AAGAACUCAGAAAUAAGCAUUAAGAAAUUAAAAUGGGUCUUGCUAAAACAAAAUAAAUCUAAAAGAGUAAAUAAGUUACCUCUAACAGAUGUUGUCACAGUCUUAGGCAAUAUCCAACUACCACCCUAUGUAAUGCAAGUUUUAGAAAAAGGACCAUCUAAUGCUAUUGACAGAAAGCAUAACAUUCUUGAUGACAUACAAGUUUUUGAACCUCUGUUAGAAGGAUUGGAUAAUAUAACGAAAGAAAGGCUAAGGUGGCAAUUUAUUGAACAAAGAAAUAAAGCAUUGAGAUGCAGUGGUUCACAACAAAGCAACAGGUCAAUCACUGAGACAUUGAAAUGGAUUGAAGACAACAAUCUUGUAGUGACGC
rnacentral:lncRNA from 1 species